CAUAGUUUUUUUUGUUCGAACAUUCUCUUUUGGAGCAACCAAGAUUUAUAGAUUUAAAUUAGGCCCAAACCCAUAAUGAACUCAUAUUACACAUGGCAGAUUUUACCACAUAAUGUACAUGCCCAUUAUGUAUUCUUGGAACAGAAGAGAAGAAGCAAAAUCUGAAAAAGGAAGAUAGAGUUUCGAUAUCCAAUAAAAUCUCAUGGAGAUUCUUUGUUUUGUGAUCGAAAAGAUGGCUUUCGAUCAGCCCAAGGGAGUCUGAUCUAAGCCAGGUUUUGGUGUAGCCAAGAUGGAUGGCAUGUGAGAGUGCAACACGAACAACCAGUGCUUCUGCUAGAAAAAGCAUGCGCUGCAUCGGAGUUACAUAGGAUCGUGUCAGGAGGGAUCAAAGGCGAUGGAGGUUGCGAUGGAAUCUUGUCAAGAGGGAUCAAAGGCGACUGAACCAGAGUCCAUUCCUGAGAAUUUGUAAGGGCUCUUGUGAUUACAUCCAGAGGAGAGGAGUGUUUUGAUUCGAAUAGCAGUUGGUUACGCAUUGUCCAGAUGGUCCAAACGAUCCAUAAGAAGAUGUCUCCAGUCACUCCUGUUGGUGGCAGAUUUAAUAUAGUGACGUUUAAAAUGGUUUACAAAGUAUGUGGAUAACAAUCAAACUAAGCUAGACUAAGAACAAGAUAAGAGAUGAGGGUGAGAUGGUUAGUCGAGGUCUUUAGAUCCAUAGGUCAAAGCGUGUUUAUAAAGAUGUGUCAUCUCUGAUCGUUCCUCAUUUUCCUUUUAUAAUUGUUCUUUCCUAAUC